UCACUUGAUUUGCUCUCCAUCUGCAAACUUAUUUAUCCUUUGCCAUUCCACAAACAGCUUACGAGCAAUAACAGAGUCACAAAACAAUGACAGCCUAUCUCCCUGAGGAAGUGGUGAUAAACAUACUCUCACGCCUUCCUCCAAAAUCCCUAAUUCGAUUCAAGUGCGUCUCCAAAACCUGGCGCUCUCUCAUCGGAACCCCAGAUUUGAUCUCUCGAAACCUCAUCAACCACUCCACUCUCAUCUCUAAAUCCGAAGACCCCAAUAACCCUCUCUUCUUCCUCGUCAAAGCCACAGACAAAAUCGACACCUCGAAGCACACAUUCUCGUUCCUAUCCUACGACAACCUCGAUCCAGAAUACACAUCCGAAGUCAUCCUUAACCUCCCACAACCAAACCACGGUCUCAACCUCGACAUCGUCGGUUCCUCCUCCGAUGGUCUCCUCUGUCUCUGUUUCGCAAGCACCAUCUACCUCUGGGACCCCACCACGUCAUCAGUGCUCGAGCCUCUCCCUCCUAUAACCCCUCGCGAAAUGGUCAAUGUCGAUUUCCACAGUGUUGGGUUCGGAUUCGAUUCCACAUCCAAUGACUUCAAGGUCGUGAGGCUUCUCAAUGUUCAUUUCAGGUCCGCGACCAAUUUGCUUCAUAUAAGUCAAGAAGCGGAAGUGUAUAGCGUCAGCAGUGGUUCGUGGAGGCAGCUGGAUCCUCAGGUUGCUCACGUGCCUAAUGGGAUUCAUACACAGUCGAGGGUCACAAUGUACUUGGAUGGGAACUUUUUCUGGUGCGCGACGCCGCUUCCAUUAGAUAAUAAUGAGGAUGAGAAGAUUGUUCGCUUCGACUUUGCUAGGGAGGUAUUCAAGUCUACUUCAUUUCCGGACGCUUGUGUUAUUGGGGAUUACUCCAGUUGGAAGACGACUCUCACCGCGUUGAACGGGUCUGUUGCUAUGCUGGUUUAUCCUUUUGGGAAGGAGGUGGAGAUGUUGUGUUUUGAUAUAUGGGUUUUGUUUGAAUUUGGUGUUAGGGAGUCGUGGACUAAGCUUAUUAGAAUUGGACCCUCUUUGGAUUUGGAAAGCCAUUGGGAUUUUGGGGGUAUGGAAAGAUGUUUAUGGAGAGCAAAGAAGGGCAGCUGGUGUUGUAUGAUCCUUCUACAAACACAGGCAAGAUUUUUCCAUUUGAUGGGCUUAAGGGAUCGUUACAAGUUACUCUCUACACUGAGUUUUGGGAAACAAACGAGGACGAUGGUGAAGACCAAGAGGAGGUGAAUCAAUGAGGUGUGCAAGGAGUGUUACUGGACAUCAUCAUGGUGAUAUUAUAUUUUGAUUCAGGCUUCAUUCUUUGGUACAAUGUUAACAAAAGUGCCGUGAUUGCUGGGAGAAAGACACAAUGACUACAGCUAUAUAAUUCAUGAUAUACUGUAAAUAUUCAAUAUAUAUAUAUAUAUAUAUAUAUUUUGUAGCAUUGAGUACUCAAGUGGGUAAAAAUUCACCUGUCAAGAAAAUAUAUAUAUAUAUAUAUAUACAUUCUUUUUUUCUUUUUGGGUAUAUUGCGAGAAGAGAAAGAUAUUGUGAUCAGAAAAAGAUUACGAACCAACCUGGGUUGAGAAACAACUAAAGCAUUCUGGGCUAGAGCACAUUUUCAUAAGAAAUGGGUCACACCAUUGGGAGUUCUACGGUUCAAGAAAAGCCCGGAUUUUGAAAUUUUCUUUGCCUGUUAGAAUGAUCAAUUCCCUUUAUUUUUUACUUCAACCCAAAUGGCGUGAUACUAAUGCUUGUAGACUAUCAGACUAUGUGACUGCUUUCUUAAGUAGAUACGUACUUGCUGAGAGGUGACUGCUUUCUUAAGUAUACAACUCACCAAUGAUAACUCAAAAUUCAAUGGUGGAAGCUCUUGCUGUUGUUUCUGAAAGGGAAUGUUCCACAAUAAAUUAUGUAGUCUAAAGUGCCUGAAGUUAUGUGUGAGAUUCAAUGAAAGCCAUAUGAAAGGGAUAAUCUACUUACUGAAGCAUUCACCAAAUCUAGAGGCUUUCAUUAUUGAUUUUGAACCAAUGGAGGAAGAUCUUGCUGUUGUUUCUAAAUUGGGUAAAAUCCACAUCUUAUAAUCAUGAUUUCAAACAUUUAGUUUGUGUGCCUGAAAACAAUCUUAAAAUGAGUCUUCUAAUUUCCAGUGGUUUCUAUUUCUAUUUUGUGUCAGAGUUUAAUUUCAAAUGUUUCCAAGCAACCACAUAAAAAGAAUGCUACUUGUUUAUUUAAUCAUUUGAAGACGGUUGAGAUAAGGAACUUCAUUGGCUGAGUGGUUGAGCUAGAAUUGGUCAAGUUUUUGCUUUAUAGUGGGAAGGUAUUGGAGAUGAUGGAUAUCAUUUAUUAAGAAUAUGAAGAAAAAGAUGAAGAGUAUUGAAAAAGUAUUGGCAUAUCCUAAAGCAUCUCUAUAUGUUGUUAUAUCAUCUCUACUUGUUGUUACUAAAGUUGCAUCUAUUAGAUUUUUGAUUGCUAUAACUGCUAUUCAUAAUUUAUUGAUACAUCGAAUGAAUGUAAAGACGGCAUUUUUACAUGGAGAUUUAGAAAAAGAAAUCUACAUGGACCAACCAGAUGGUUUUACAUGCUUGGUAAUGAACACAAGGUAUGUAAAUAAUUAAAAUCUUUAUAUAGAUUAAAAUAAGCACCUAGACAAUGGCUUGAGAAAUUUGAUCAAUGUUUACUUUCUAAUGGUUUUG